AUUGAACGCUGGCGGCAGGCCUAACACAUGCAAGUCGAGCGAGCGGCGGACGGGUGAGUAAUGUAUGGGGAUCUGCCUGAUGGAGGGGGAUAACUACUGGAAACGGUAGCUAAUACCGCAUACCAUCAGAUGAACCCAUAUGGGAUUAGCUUGUAGGUGAGGUAAAGGCUCACCUAGGCGACGAUCUCUAGCUGGUCUGAGAGGAUGAUCAGCCACAUUGGGACUGAGACACGCCCCAGACUCCUACGGGAGGCAGCUGUGGGGAAUAUGGCACAAUGGGCGCAAGCCUGAUGCAGCCAUGCCGCGUGUAUGAAGAAGGCCUUAGGGUUGUAAAGUACUUUCAGCGGUGAGGCGUUACCCGCAGAAGAAGCACCGGCUAACUCCGUGCCAGCAGCCGCGGUAUAC
rnacentral:rRNA from 1 species